ACGCUCGACACCUACGGGGCAGCAGUGGGGAAUAUUGCACAAUGGGGGAAACCCUGAUGCAGCAACGCCGCGUGAAGGAAGACGGUUUUCGGAUUGUAAACUUCUGUUCUUAGUGAAGAUAGUGACGGUAGCUAAGGAGCAAGCCACGGCUAACUACGUGCCAGUAGCCGCGGUAAUCUGAGCGGGCGUGGCAAGGC
rnacentral:rRNA from 1 species